GUCCACGCUGUAAACGAUGUCAACUAGCUGUUGGUUAUAUGAAAUAAUUAGUGGCGCAGCAAACGCGAUAAGUUGACCGCCUGGGGAGUACGGUCGCAAGAUUAAAACUCAAAGGAAUUGACGGGGCCCGGCACAAGCGGUGGAGCAUGUGGUUUAAUUUCGAUGCAACGCGAAGAACCUUACCUACCCUUGACAUACAGUGAAUUUUGUCAGAGAUGCAUGAGUGCCUUCGGAACGACUGAUACAGGUGCUGCAUGGCUGUCGU
rnacentral:rRNA from 1 species